rnacentral:rRNA from 1 species
UACAGAGGGUGCAAGCGUUGUUCGGAAUUAUUGGGCGUAAAGGGUGCGUAGGCGGUGCGGUAAGUCUCUUGUGAAAUCUCCGGGCUCAACCCGGAGCCUGCAAGGGAAACUGCCGUGCUUGAGUGUGGGAGAGGUGAGUGGAAUUCCCGGUGUAGCGGUGAAAUGCGUAGAGAUCGGGAGGAACAUCUGUGGCGAAGGCGGCCACCUGGACCAACACUGACACUGAGGCACGAAAGCGUGGGGAGCAAACAGG